GACGAACGCUGGCGGCGUGCUUAACACAUGCAAGUCGAGCGGAAAACUUCGGUUUUCAGCGGCGGACGGGUGAGUAACACGUGGGCAACCUGCCUCACAAUGAGGGAUAGCCUUCCGAAAGGAAGAUUAAUACCUCAUAACACAAGAGAAACGCAUGUUUCUCUUGCCAAAGAAUUUCGUUGUGAGAUGGGCCUGCUUCGCAUCAGCUAGUUGGUGGGGUAACGGCCUACCAAGGCGAAGACGCGUAGCUGGUCUGAGAGGAUGAUCAGCCACACUGGGACUGAGACACGGCCCAGACUCCUACGGGAGGCAGCAGUGGGGAAUAUCGGACAAUGGGGGCAACCCUGAUCCAGCCACGCCGCGUGAGUGAUGAAGGCCUUCGGGUCGUAAAGCUCUGUGGGGAGGGACGAACGUCCCGUUGAAGAAACGGGGGUGACGGUACCUCCUUAGCAAGCACCGGCUAACUUCGUGCCAGCCGCCGCGGUAACAC
rnacentral:rRNA from 1 species